AGUGCGUCUUAAGCAUGCAAGUCAAACGGGAUGUAGCAAUACAUYUAGUGGCGAACGGGUGAGUAACGCGUGGAUGAUCUACCUAYGAGAUGGGGAUAACUAUUAGAAAUAGUAGCUAAUACCGAAUAAAGUCAAUUAAUUUGUUAAUUGAUGAAAGGAAGCCUUUAAAGCUUCGCUUGUAGAUGAGUCUGCGUCUUAUUAGYUAGUUGGURGGGUAAAUGCCUACCAAGGCGAUGAUAAGUAACCGGCCUGAGAGGGUGAACGGUCACACUGGAACUGAGAUACGGUCCAGACUCCUACGGGAGGCAGCAGCUAAGAAUCUUCCGCAAUGGGCGAAAGCCUGACGGAGCGACACUGCGUGAAUGAAGAAGGUCGAAAGAUUGUAAAAUUCUUUUAUAAAUGAGGAAUAAGCUUUGUAGGAAAUGACGAAGYGAUGACGUUAAUUUAUGAAUAAGCCCCGGCUAAUUACGUGCCAGCAGCCGCGGUAAUACGUAAGGGGCGAGCGUUGUUCGGGAUUAUUGGGCGUAAAGGGUGAGUAGGCGGAUAUAUAAGUCUAUGCAUAAAAUACCACAGCUCAACUGUGGAACUAUGUUGGAAACUAUAUGUCUAGAGUCUGAUAGAGGAAGUUAGAAUUUCUGG
rnacentral:rRNA from 1 species